CAAAGACCUAGACAUGCCAGUCACCCUGGAUAUCUCCGGGAAAGCCAUAAUGACAUUGAAAUCCAACUUCAACAAGAACAACAAUAACAGCCUCUGCAAAACCCUACCCAUAAAGACCCAUACCACACUCACCAAUCCUACUUCAUCCCCACUUCACCUGAAAAGGAAUUCCCAUCAUCAUCAUCACCAAACACCAAAGCAUGUAAACCCCAGGAACAAUUCCAGAAAACAAACAACCCACUUUGUGGACACCUUUCGUGAAAACAAGGACCUCAAAACCUUACUUGAAAAGCUCAAAAAGAGAGGUUCAGACCCUCUUCAGAUACUCAAAGAUGAUGGGGAUUGGACUAAAGAUCACUUCUGGGCUGUCCUCAGAUUCCUCGUACAGUCCUCAAGAUCCAAGGAGGUUCCCCAGGAAAGGGAGGUUCGGAGAUGCUUUGUAUUAUCUCAAGAAGAUGGAGGAAAUCAAUUUGAAGCCAGAUACGGAGACCUAUAAUGGGCUUAUCCGAGCAUAUGGGAAAUAUAGAAUGUAUGAUGAGAUGGAUCAAUGUUUGAAAAAGAUGGAGGCUGAUGGGUGGUCACUGGACCACAUUACUUAUAAUUUGCUAAUCCAAGAGUUUUCACGAGCCGGAUUACUGACAAGAACGGAAAAACUGUAUCAAAUUCUCAUAUAAAAAAGAAUGGAUUUACAAUCCUCUACAUUGGUUGCAAUGCUUGAGGCAUAUGCCAACUUUGGGAUCUUGGACAAGAUGGAGAAGUUUUAUAGAAGGGUUUUGAACUCCAAAACCUUGUUAAAGGAUGAUUUGAUUCGGAAAUUGGCUAGGGUUUAUAUUUUGAACCAUAUGUUUUCUAGAUUGGAUGACAUGGGAUGGGACAUGAUCUUUCUUCGAAAACUGGAAAGACUGAUCUUGUUUGGUGUUUGCACAUCCUUUCACAUUCUUUUCUUUUGAGUCGGAAAGGCAUGUACUUUGUUCUUCAAGAGAUGGAAUUAGAAAAUUUACCUUGGAAUGUAACGAUUGCUAAUGUAAUCUUGCUAACUUAUGUGAUGAUGAAAGAUUUUAAGAACUUGAAGCUCGUACUUUCUGAAGUAGCUGCUUGACAUGUGAAGCCUGAUAUUGUCACCAUUGGAGUUGUAUUUGAUGCGUGUAAGAUUGGAUUUGACGGAAUGUGGGCUUUAAAUAUGUGGAGAAAGAUAGGAUUUCUUGAUGAAAAUGUUGAAAUGAACACUGAUGCUCUUGUUCUCACUGCAUUUGGAAAAGGGCAUUUCCUAAGAAGUUGUGAAGAGGCAUACUCAUCUCUUGAAACUCAAGCUAGAGAAAGGAGAAUAUGGACUUAUCAACAUCUCAUUGAUUUGGUGUUUAAACAAAACAAAAGGCUUCCUCAAUUAAUGGGAGUUGAACAGAUUUAAGCUGUGCUUGUUAAGCUUGCCAUGGAUAACAUAUCCUCUGAAGGAGGACCGGGGCAUUUGGUAAUCAUUCAAGACCCAAAAAGACCUUACGAUUCAGUCUUACAAGGCAAGGUGAAAAGAAGAUAAGGAUUCACUGGUUGUUUUAUGCUAGUUACUGCCAAGUACUCAUGCCAGGGAAAUUGGUAAUUCAAUGAAAAGACUAUUGACGGUACAAUUCAUUUUUUUUGUUUUGUUUAGGGGAGUGGUGCUACGUCUCUCUAAUUUUGCACACCUAAUUCCACCCCUAAUGGGGUGGCUUACCCCCAUGUAAAGUGGUCCCACAUUUUGAAGAGAGUUGAUUGGUUGUUAUUGUUUGCCACUUCAUUAGAAGUGCAAUUGGGGGUGAUGAAAUUUGGGGAUUGGGCAUUUCUCAUUUUUAGGGUGCCCUGGCAACAGUUACUAAAAGGUUACAAUGUCAGGUAUCUAUAACCAUAUAAAAAGAAGCUAAGCAUUUUCACUUUCUAAACUAUGGUCUGAAGAAGCUUUAUUGCAACUUAAACUGGUCCAUUUACAUGUGUUUCCGACUGUUCUACUGAUGUGUCUUGCCAUCGUCCCUCCAGUUAUUUCAGAAGAAUCAUACUGUGUUUUGUUCCCAAGACCUUCCUCCAUUCGGUGCAGCACUCACAGUGUGGUUGCUUGGGCGGCAUUCUAUUACAACAAUAUCUUCUCCCUAUAUAUGCUGCGCAAUGCGAAAUCCUUAUGCCACAAACCUUUUCUCCCCCCUUGACUAAAAUGUGCAUCCAACCUAUAAAGAGCAUAUUCCGCCUUCUAAACAACCAAUUCCUUCACUAGCAUCUUCAGCCAUUUCUCCAUCCUACUCAUUCCUAAGCAGAGAAGUCAUCAACUGCAUCAUGUAAAGAACGCAGAUUGUGAUGUUUGCCAUAGAGGUUGGUUGCUUUUGGUGAUGUAAAUGGGAUGUGCACUAAUUGCUUGAGCAGCUUGACAUUACGCCUGUGAAAAGUCUGAAUUAUACAUGCAAGGGACAGAUAUAGGCACACAGAGAGAGUGAGACCACUAACAAGCAUGAACACUUUCAAGAAGUGGAAAUAGAAAAAAUAGAAGAUUCUUGUGACAAAUUAGUCUUGAAAGGGAGGUUGGUCCUGGCAUGUGGGGAUGAUUCUUUUGCAUUUAGUUCUUCAUCCAUGCUAUAUCAUGUACCAUAUGAAUGUUCACACUUCUACUAUUGUAAUAUAGAUGUCUGGUUCUAUGUUACCUGGGACAUGGAUUGUUCCGGUAUGAGAAAUGAAAAUCGGUACGGGAAACAAAAAUGGGAACGUGGAAAGCUAUAUGCUCUAAAAUGUGGUACGAUAGGGAUAGAUUUGUAUUAUAUUAUACUUUUGAAUUUAAGGUAUUUUUUUAAACUA